GGCAAUUUUAGGAUAUUUUUGGGGUUUUUUGGGUUUUUUUUCUGGGGUUUUUGGGCGAUUUUGGGGUGAUUUUAAGGGGAUUUGGGGUCCUGGGGAUCCAUCAGGGACCCCCAAAAAUGUCUCAGGGACCCCCAAAAGUGCCCCCCCCUCUGCAGCAGGUGAAAUUUGGGGGAAUUUGGGCAAUUUUGGGCAAUUUUGGGAUUUUUUGGGACUUUUUUUGGGUGAUUUUUGGGCUCUUUUGGUGCUUUUUUGGGUGGUUUGAGGUCCCGGAAGGUCAGAAAACCGCCGGGUUUUUUUGGGGAGGGGGAUUCCCUGGUCUCCCUGAAUUUGGGGAGGGGUCUCAGGAGUCUUAGGAGUAUUUGAGUAUUUUGGGGAGGGGUCUCAGGAGUAUUUGAGUAUUUUGGGGAGGGGUCUCAGAGCUCUUUUUUGGGCUUUUUGAGGCUUUUUUGGCCUCUUUGGGACAUUUUCUGGUACUUUAUGGUCCUGGAAGGUCGGAAAACCGCCGGGUUUUUUUUGGGGAGGGGGAUUCCCUGGGCUGCCCGAAUUUGGGGAGGGGUCUCAGGGCUAUUUGGGGGUAAUUUGGGGAGGGGUCUCAGGGGUUUUUGGGGGCCAUUUGUGGAGUUUUGGGGCUCUUUUGAUGCAUUUUUGGGCGGUUUGAGGUCCCGGAAGGUCAGAAAACCGCCGGGUUUUUUUGGGGAGGGGGAUUCCCGGGGCUCCCCGAAUUUGGGGAGGGGUCUCAGGAGUCUCAGGAGUAUUUGAGUAUUUUGGGGAGGGGUCUCAGGGGUAAUUUGUGGCCCUUUUGGGCUCUUUUGAUGCUUUUUUGGCUGGUUUGAGGUCCUGGAAGGUCAGAAAACCGCCGGGUUUUUUUUGGGGAGGGGGAUUCCCUGGUCUCCCCGAAUUUGGGGAGGGGUCUCAGGAGUCUCAGGAGUAUUUGAGUAUUUUGGGGAGGGGUCUCAGGGGUCUCUGAGUAAUUUGGGGAGGGGUCUCAGGGGUAAUUUGUGGCGCUUUUGGGCUCUUUUGGGGCUCUUUUGGUGCUUUUUUGGGCGGUUUGAGGUCCUGGAAGGUCAGAAAACCGCCGGGUUUUUUUUGGGGAGGGGGAUUCCCGGGUCUCCCCGAAUUUGGGGAGGGGUCUCAGGCUCCGUGCCCCCUCCCCAGCCGCUCCAGCUGCUCGGAGUGCCUGGCCCCCCCCUCGCAGUGCGCCUGGUGCCCCUCGGCCCGGCGCUGUUUCCUCUUCGCCGCGUACCUGGCGCGGUUCCCCCACGGCGAGUGCCGCGGCUGGUCCGACAGCGUUCACUCGGCCCCCCAGUGCCAGAGCUGCUCCUGGGGGUUUUUGGGGGGUCCUUGGGGGGUCCUGGGGGGGUUUUGGGGUGGUUUUGGGGGUUUUUGGGGGUUCCUGGGGGGUUUUUGGGGUGGUUUUUGGGGUUUUUGGGGGUCCCGAGGCUCUCGGGGUAAGUUUUUGGGGUGAUUUUGGGGUUUUUUGCAGCGUUCACUCGGCCCCCCAGUGCCAGAGCUGCUCCUGGGGGUUUUUGGGGGUUCCUGGGCGGUUUUUGGGGGUUUUGGGGUGGUUUUGGGGGUUUUUGGGGUGGUUUUUGGGGUUUUUGGGGGUCCCGAGGCUCUCGGGGUAAGUUUUUGGGGUGAUUUUGGGGUUUUUUGCAGCGUUCACUCGGCCCCCCAGUGCCAGAGCUGCUCCCAGCUGGGCUCGUGCCGGGAGUGCCUGAACCAGCACGGCUGCGGCUGGUGCGGCUCCAGCCAGAACCCCACCCUGGGCAGGUCUGAAUUGGGGCUGGGGGCUUCAACUGGGGCUGGGGGCUUCGGGGGGGUCAGGGGAGUUUGGGGGGGUCUCGAAUUUGGGGGUUUUGGGGGGAAUUUUGGGGAAUUUUGGUGAUUUUGGGUCCUGGAGCUUGAGGAUUCCUGAAUUCUAGAGGGGUUUUGGAGGCUUGAAUUGGGUCUGGGGGCUU
ensembl:lncRNA